UCCACAAUCUUAGAAGCUUGGUGUAGCUCCUUUAUGUUCCUUAAUUGGAGCUAUUCUUGCCUUUCGUUUCUCCUCCUUGCUAUUUGAUAGUUGUUGAGGUUGGAGGAAUGAAUGCUCACUAUCUUUGUAGUUUCAAGAGUCUGAAUUUUGCUUGUAUGUGGCUUUAUGAUCAAUAAAAGAAUUAUGGGUUUUUUUUUUUCCAUUUGUUUGAUCUGUGCACGAUGUACUCCUUGUAUAUGUGGCGGAGUCUAGGCUUCAUAUGUUGGUGAGAAUCAUUGGAUAAGACUUUAAAGCCUUCGGGUGAAGUUUGCCCAAUUCUCAUACUUUGGCGAAGUUCGCUGAGUCGGUCAAGCGAGGCUCAUUCAGUAUUUGGACUUAAGUGAAGUGCACUAAGUUUGUUGAGCGAAGCUCAUUCAAUCUUUGAGUGAAGUUUGCUAGACUGAUUGGUGAGACUCACUAAAAAAUUUUAAAAUUUUAAAUCUUUGAUUUUUGUGCGAAGUUUGCACGAAGUUCAAAGCAAGAUUCUCGGGAGAAGUUCAAGGUAAAGAUAUCUGGGUGAAGUUCGAUGAAAGCCUAUAAAUAGACUGUUUAUCUUCUUUUCUUCUUCUUCACUCUGUUUUCAAAACCCUAGACCCCUUUAGAAUUUUUGAACCUCCACACUCCUUAACUCUUUGGUUCAAUGGCCGACUGACGUCAACUUACCAAGGGAAAGAACUUCACCGGCGAAUCUCUCGAUCAAAUGCCACCAUGGCAAUGCCGAAGUUAGAGAUGGCCUCAGGUAAACUCGAAACCCAUCAACGGUGAAGUUCUUUGAUUUGCCAAAACAGCACCUUUCAGGCUUGAAUAGUACCUUAGGGCACUUAAAUCUACUUCAUCAUCAAUGGGAGGCUUUCAGGACCAUACUUGAUCUUAUUCAUGGGUUUUGCCGGUGACAGCGAAGUCUUGUUGAUCGCCAUCAAUGGCGUUCUAUAUGGUGAACUUCGCUUUUUGGGUGAAGUUCACUAAUUGGUCCAUUUGGGCUUCUUGAGCGAGCUUUGCCUGAGCGAGGUUCGCUAACUCAGUCCAUUUGGACUCUUGAGCAAAUUUCGUUGUGGGGUUGAAGUUCAAUAGUUAUUAUACGAACUUCACGUACCUCACCAAUACUUAGCCAACUUUAGUGGAGCUAAUAUUGAGAUUGACCUUUGCUAGUGAGCGAACUUCUUCUUGGAAAACUUGUUCCUCCAGAAAAUACACUAUUAGCCCUAGCCGUCGUAACCACUUUAGGCAUAGGACAACAUGAUGGUGGGUGGCUUGAAAUCCAAGGGCUGAUUUUACAAAGAGAGCCGCUUUGGACUCAGCGUUGUUGGUCUCCGCCCUGGUUCUGUUAAAGAGGAAGCUCAUGCCAAUGAGGGGAAAUUGGUAUAGCUUUGCACGAGAUGUUUGAGAUGUCUCGGUUUCCAAUGGGAGAACGACCAUAUGAAGAGUUCUUCCCCAGAAAUGCAGAGUUAAGGACCAUGGAGCACUUCGCUCAUGUUGGUGAGGUGUUUCCGGGAGCUGGUUUGCCACUUUUUCAUUUGUCAUUAGACGGUUGCGCAUGCUACACAUGGCCCCUAUGUUGCCCGCGUGCACUGGCGAAGUACCUUUUCCGGAAUGGAAGUAAAAAGGAAAAGUUGAACCAAUCUCUGUGGCUACUUGGCUUGAAGUAGAGAACAAAGUCUUUAACCACGGUCCAGUUCAUCACACUGCUGACUCGGAUGAGUGUGGGUUUCAUGCUGGGGAUAUCUUUGAGAGUUUUCACCCUCAAGCGAAAGAACUCAUUUCUGCUCGGGCUUUGUCUGCAGUAUUUAUGUCAAUCUGGCUGAAAGGUUGCAUCAUACCCUCUCGGCCAAAGGACUGCGUCUCAAUCAGAGUGCUCUAUCCCGCGACCUUCCUUGCUCAUGGAUACAGCCUGUGUUUGCUUCCUGCUAUGGUCAGCUAUAUUCACUAUGGGCUAAGGGAAUUGGCCACUGAAUAUCUGAAUUAGGAGGAGGGAUGUCCACAAGAGAAAGUUAUUAAAUCAUGGAAUUUUCUUAUUGUUCCCUUGUAUAUUCGCAAUAUAAUUUUUAUUUUACAUGAA